rnacentral:lncRNA from 1 species
CAAGGAGAUCCACGUGCUGAAACGGGACUGAUUUUUCACAGCUAAGACCUCCUGAUACUGGAGAAGACCUUUAUGGCGGCUCAUUGAAAGGAAGGUUAAAACAGAAAUCUAAGACCAAAGAGGAGAUGCUGAAAGAAUCAGCCUGCUGGAAAACUAUUUCAAGCAAGCAGAUGAGCAAAAGGAAAGAGUGGAGCUGGGAAGAAACAAGCGGAAUGAGAGCACUGGAUCAAAGAAGAGAAAACUCAAGUAAGAGGAAGAAUCAAUGCCAAC